ACAGUCCCAUCUAAUAACAUAACUGUGUGUGUGUGUGUGUGUGUGUGUGUGUGUGUGUGUGUGUGUGUGUGUAGGAUUGAGCGGGAGCAGAGACAGCAGGAACAGCAUCCAGCCCCACAGGAGCCAGUGAAAAAGUCUGAGAGGCCAAAAUCAAUGAUUGUAGGUCAAGGAUUCUGAGAAGGACAGAAAUUUGAAGGGCUCAUCUGAAGUGGAGCGUGAACGUCCAGCAAGUCUACACAAGCUUCGUGUCGUCAUCCCGCUGACGAUUUGUGCCGUCAUUGUCCGAUCAAAACAAAAUGAAUUCUCCGUCCCAUAAUUAAUAACCCCACAUGCCACUGGGAACUCACCCCUCCUCUAUCCCAGAGGGGUUUUAGGGCCACACUUGAAAAUGUCUAAAUGAAGUCACUGCUCUGUUACCAGAUUUUAUUUAAAACUUGAAACCGUUGCUCGAUUCAGUCAUUCUUUAAUCUGCUGUUAGGGAGCUCAUGCUGGAUUAUAAUGAGCCUCCUUGUUUCUCGUUGUUUGAGUCAGAGAUUACAGGCUUGAAGUUAAUGAAGGCAAAUACCUGAAAAUUGUGACAGUUUAAAAAUAUGAGCAAACCUUGAAGCUCCUUUAACUGAGAUCUGGGUCAGUACGAGACCACUGGAACAAACCGGUCUCACAUUUAU
rnacentral:lncRNA from 1 species